rnacentral:rRNA from 1 species
UACGUAGGUGGCAAGCGUUGUCCGGAAUUAUUGGGCGUAAAGAGCUCGUAGGCGGUUUGUCGCGUCUGCUGUGAAAACUCGGGGCUUAACCCCGGGCCUGCAGUGGGUACGGGCAGACUAGAGUGCGGUAGGGGAGACUGGAAUUCCUGGUGUAGCGGUGGAAUGCGUAGAUAUCGGGAGGAAUACCAGUGGCGAAGGCGGCUUCUUGGCCUGUUCUUGACGCUGAGGCGCGAAAGCUGGGGGAGCAAACGGG